rnacentral:rRNA from 1 species
GACGAACGCUGGCGGCGUGCUUAACACAUGCAAGUCGAGCGGUAAGGCCCUUUCGGGGGUACACGAACGGCGAACGGGUGAGUAACACGUGGGUGACCUGCCCUCAGCUCUGGGAUAAGCCUGGGAAACCGGGUCUAAUACUGGAUAUGACUCCAUGACGCAUGUUGUGGGGUGGAAAGCCUUGUGCGGCUGAGGAUGGGCCCGCGGCCUAUCAGCUUGUUGGUGGGGUGAUGGCCUACCAAGGCGACGACGGGUAGCCGGCCUGAGAGGGCGGCCGGCCACACUGGGACUGAGACACGGCCCAGACUCCUACGGGAGGCAGCAGUGGGGAAUCUUGCGCAAUGGGCGAAAGCCUGACGCAGCGACGCCGCGUGA